GGAAUGGAAGGCACCCAGAGAGCUCCUCUUGAAGGCCAAAGGCAGUUGUGGAACUGUGAUGAAAUCGUUUAGCCUAAUAUCAAGUUGGGGGCAGAAGAGGGACGGCAACGGUGAGAGGAUUCAUCGGGCCGUACGUGAGCAUCUCAUCCGAAGAAGUCAGCCAAUCCGAAGCUAUAUGGACAGCAACCCUGACAAAGCCCUUUGCAUUUUUAUUUUAUUGCCCUAAGCAGCACUGUAAACAAAGUUUACAAUUAUUUCUAGUUAUGC